GACAGAGGAUGCAAGCGUUGUUCGGAAUUACUGGGCGUAAAGGGCGCGUAGGCGGCUUGUUUAGUCGGGUGUGAAAUCCCGGGGCUCAACCCCGGAACUGCAUUCGAUACUGGCAGGCUAGAGACCGGAAGAGGUGAGUGGAAUACCCAGUGUAGAGGUGAAAUUCGUAGAUAUUGGGUGGAACACCGGUGGCGAAGGCGACUCACUGGACAUGUAUUGACGCUGAGGUACGAAAGCGUGGGGAGCGAAUGGG
rnacentral:rRNA from 1 species